CAGAUAAUCUUAUCCCUUUUAUAGGUAUUGUUAUUGCUACUAUAAAUAGGUCUUUCUAUUAUGUUUUAAUAGUAGUGUUACUCAUACAUACUAGAAAUAUUGUUUUCUGUACAUGUUAUGUAUGUGCAUAUUACCAUCUAGAAUAUUGAAGAUGUCUACCAUAGAAUGGGCUCUGAACCAGCAGUGAGGUUAGUCAUAGGGCUUGCCUCAGUUAGAUAAUGGCUUAGGACAGAGCCAAAUAGUAAAUACGGAAACUCAACCAGUAAUUGUUCUUUCUAGUGAAGGCUCUGAACAAAAUGAAACAUGUUUAGUAAUAUAGCAUCAUUACAUGUGCCUAUCGACUCAAAUUAUGAAGAUUCUGAAAGCUUGAAAAUGUCAUGCUUUAUUCAUGAACAGGUUCCAAAGGUCAAGCAAAUGACUGGGAAACAAAACUGAGUAUUACUGAGUUUUCGGUGAGCUUCAGACUAACAGUGCUUUGAGUUCAUUUGUUACUAUGGUUAUGUACCCCAUAGGUUUUGUUGUUGUUGUUGUUGUUGUUUUUUCUGAGUAAGUCCACUAUGUGCAUGCAGUGCCUCAAGAUGUCAGAAGGGGGUGUGAGUCCCACCAAAGUUGAAUUAUAGAAAAUGGCAAGCUGCCACAUGGAUAGUGGAAAUCAAACCAGAGCCCUCUGAACAAGCUACAAGGUUUUAACUGCUCAGCCACCCAGAAGCUUCCCAAAAUUUCCGAUGAACUUAAACACUGCAUUUCCAUUGAUAUGUUAUCACAACACUGGUCGAUGGAGUUUCUGGAAAAUGGCAGUCAUAACUUUCAUCCGGAGAGCAUCCUUGCAUAUCUCAACUCAUGAACAAGGCCUUUGAUCUCCCGAAACUACAUCUUCCUGGUAUGGUGUUACCCACCUGCAGGCCGCUCAGUCUUCACAAGGGAGUCUUUUCCAGGAGCCUGUUUGCUUCUAUCCUAGGUCUCCAGGCUUCAUAGCCUUUGGUAACUUCUUUCCUUAGCCCUCUGGUGGUAACACAUGGAGCAAAGUGAAAGAUGUUCCCAGUCGGGGUCUGCAGCUGCAGGAGGGCACAUAAGAAUUCAUCUCGCGAUGUCAUCCACUCAAGGGCACGAGCUUCCAAGUCUCCUUGGGUUUCCAUUGCUGUGAAGAGACAACAUAACCACCGCAACUCUUAUAAAAGAAAGCAUUGAAUUGAGGAUGGCUUACAGUUCAGAGGUUCAGACCAUUGUCAUCAUGUUGGGGAAGCAUGGGAACAUGCAGGCGGACAUGGAGCUGGGGAGUAGCUGAGUGUUCUACAUCGGGAUCAGCAGGCAACAGGGACAGUAAGAGGUAACCCUGGGCCUGGCUUGAACAUUUGAAAACCCAAAGCACAUCCUUAAUGAUUAACUUCCUCCAAGGAGGCCAUACCCACACCACCAAGCCAUGGUGUCACUUCCUAAGAGCCUAUGGGGGCCAUUUUCAUUGAAACCACCACAGUUCUCUAUCUAGUAGGAGGAUAACUGUGGUGAAUUGAAAAUAUUUUAUGUUUAAGUGUGUGUGUGUGUGUGUGUGUGUGUGUGUGUUUGUGCAUGCCCAGGGAGGCCAGAAGAACAUGUCAGAUCCUCUGGGGCAGGUUUAUAGAUGGUUGUGAGCUACUGGAUGUGAGCGCAGGGAAAUGAACUUAGGUCCUCUGCAGAAGCAACGAGUGCUCUUAAAGUUUGAGACAGCUCUCCAGCAUGAGGUUAAAUUUAUGAAUGUUGUUUUCUUUGCAUGAAGCGAGUCUAUUUUCUUUCAUGAUGGUCAGUUGAAGUAGCCCAGGCUUUUUUAGUGAGGGAGUUCCCAUAGCUUCUGCUCACUUUGUACUGUUACACCUGUAAUAAUACAGGGUGCUUUAAUAAGCUCAGGAUUUGGAUCAGGUCAUGUUCUUAGAAGAACUGACCUGCCAGUGAGAGCACACAAUGAAUUGUGUCCUCUCUGACUCACGGAGGGAGGAAAGUUUGUCAUAUGAAAGCUGAUUUAGUGCUUGGGACAUAAAAACAAAACAAAGCUUAAGGUGAAGCCCCAAGAGUAAGAGACUGGUUCCUUAAUCCUGGGAAACUAGGUUAGUCAGGGCUCACUGUGCAACCAAGCCAAACCAAGUUCAAGCAACUGAAAACAACAACAACAACAGCAGGAACAGUAACAGCAGCAGCAACAACAAUAACAACAACAGCAACAGCAGGGACAAUAACUAAAAUAACAAUAACAGCAGCAGCAACAACAACAAUAACAACAACAGCAACAGCAGGGACAAUAACUAACAAUAACAAUAACAGCAGCAGCAACAACAAUAACAACAAACAGCAACAGCAGGAACAAUAACUGACAACAAAAACAACAGUAGCAGUAACAGCAAAAACAGCAGUAGCAAUAACUAGCAAUAACAACAGUAACAGCAACAGUAACAACAGCAACAGCAGGAACAAUAACUAACAAUAACAAUAACAACAACAACAGCAGUAACAACAACAACAACAGCAGUGACAAUAACUAACAAUAACAACAGCAACAACAGCAGCAGCAGCAGCAAUAACAGGAACAACAGCAAGAACAAUAAUUAACAACAAAAACAUCAGCAGCAGUAACAACAGCAGCAGAACAAUAACUAACAACAACAAUAACAGCAAGAACAAUAACUAAGAAUAAUAGCAGCAGCAACAACAACAACAACAACAACAUCAUCAACAACCCAUGCCUCUAAAAAGUUUCCCUUUCUCCUCAUUAUCUGGGGAUUUUGUAUUAGUGUGUUCUUAAUUCCUGUUAUCUGGCACUUGGCCACACCUCCCUCCUUUCUUUCCCACUCUUAAACACCAGCAGGUGUGUGAAGUCACAGAACUGACAACCCUGCAUACCCUUUCUGUCAGAUGACAGCAUCCACACUCAAGGUUAUUUAGAAGAGAAGUCCACCUUGUCUUUGCAGCAGGCUCCAGGCAGAAUGGAGAUGCUGUGAAGAACGGCCAGACUUAGAGCACUGCUCUGGGCCAAGGGUUUCAUAUGCUUAGGUUUACGCGUGGCAGAGCUUGGAACUAUUUCCAUGCAUAAUCCUUGUUUAAAUUUUUAUGUUUUCCACACAUCUCCUCACUGUUCCUUUCCAAAGUAUAAAUGUAAUCCCAUCCCACACACAAACAAAAACAAAAAACAAACAAAAAAACCCACUCACCAAACCAGCUAUGAGGCAAUGCGCUUGCUAAUGAAUUACAUUCAGUCAUUCUAUGCAAUAUUCUAUAGAUUGCAUUAUAUCUGAUGAAACCAUACAAUGUCAAUUUAAAAAAUACAAAAAUAAAAUUUUUCUUUGUAAAACCUGUAUAUGGAGGAUGGUGGACCAGAAGGAUGCAUACACAUUGGCUAGGACAACGAGCUGCUCUGACCUCGGUGUGGCGAGGCAGCUGUAACUAAUGAUGACACACUACAGUUUUGAGCCUAUGUAGAGGCUCUUAAGCCCCUUGUAUUCUUUGUUGUGCAGUGCUGCUGUUGUGCUGUGGUAUUCUAGGUGUCAAGAUGGUACUCAACUGUAAGAAGUGGGAGAGGAGGAAAGAGAGCCCUUCACGUGUGUCAAGAGAGUAUUCAAGGGGAGAGAAAAAUUACUGGAGAUCCCUACCCUAGGAGUCAGCUUUCAUCAAGGAAGAAACUCCUCUCCUAAGCCACUUCUAGCUGCUGCAGUGCUGUGACUUGACCUGUCUGCGAACGUCACAAGGAGAGACUGAACAAGAAGUGUGUGAACGGAAUGAGAGGUUUGUUAAUUCCUGCAAGUUGGUCACUGUGGUGGACACCUGCAUCAAUGAACCAUCUUGUGCCCUGUCUAUAUAUAGUCCAUCGCUGGCAUUUGAUGGCAGACUUGACUUCUAAUUGACAUGCAGAUAUGAUACCCUGGUAGGAGAAACUAUAUCUUCAAACUGAAUUCUGAGCUUCUCCCGCCAAUGUGCAGUUGUCAAAUCGGGUGCUGAACUUUGCCUCCCCUAUCCCCUUCAGGCCAGAGUGUUAUAGAGCUUUUAAGCCUGAAAACCACAGACAUCUGUGCUAAGCUGUAGUUACAUUUUUCUACCAGUCAGGAUUCAGGGCUAGGGGCCUUCACUGGGAACAUUUCUCUGUGUGGCACAUUUAUCCUGUUCUCAUUGGUUGGUUGAUACCGCUGUGGAGGGGAGACUUGCCUAGUAUUCCUAUGUCUGCCAAGGAGGAUGUCAGCUACAGCAGGGGGGUCUUGGGAACUUAAAUUUUAUUUGACCCCUAUUCAAAAUGGAAGUUUUAUUCAAAAUGGCUUCAUCUUGGUUCCUUCUUACACAGUAUCACACGGUAAGGGCGAGCUUCUGUUCCUAGUGUACCAGUCAUGUGAACGCAGGCAAAAGAAGCUGACACAGUAGACAUGGCUUCAGUCUUGAGGUGGUUUCACCAUUUUCCAAUUAUCUGAUGGUGUGAAGGUUGCACUUUAUUUUUACCCACAGUAAACAUAUGCUAAUGAUGAGCACAGAGACUUAUUGAAUAAACAACCUCUUGUGUAGUAUCCAAUAAUGUAAUGAGGUAGUCAACAUUUUUAUGUUCUAAAAUAGCCUUUGUGUUAGCGGUCUCAGCCCAAACCUCAGGCUUCUUUGAGUUGCGUGCACAUGAGCGGUGAUGGUUGAUAGCGUAGGUAUGUUAAAUAUGUCUUUGAUUUAGGAAGUAUUCAACUUGUGAUGGAUGUUUCAGGACAUAGCCAUUGUAUGUAAGUUGUGAGACGGGUAUACGCAACUGCUGUCUACCAAUUAAAUAAAAGUAAAACAAAACCUUAAAU
rnacentral:lncRNA from 1 species